rnacentral:rRNA from 1 species
GACAGAGGAGGCGAGCGUUAAUCGGAAUUACUGGGCGUAAAGCGUGCGCAGGCGGUAAUGUAAGACAGUUGUGAAAUCCCCGGGCUCAACCUGGGAACUGCAUCUGUGACUGCAUUGCUGGAGUACGGCAGAGGGGGAUGGAAUUCCGCGUGUAGCAGUGAAAUGCGUAGAUAUGCGGAGGAACACCGAUGGCGAAGGCAAUCCCCUGGGCCUGUACUGACGCUCAUGCACGAAAGCGUGGGGAGCAAACAGG